rnacentral:rRNA from 1 species
CAAUAGCGUAUAUUUAAGUUGUUGCAGUUAAAAAGCUCGUAGUUGAAUUUCGGAUGGGAUUUGCCGGUCCGUCGUUACGAUGUGCACUGGCCAGUCCUAUCUUGUUGUCGGGGACUAGCUCCUUGGAUUCACUUCCUGGGACUAGGAGCUGACGAGGUUACUUUGAGUAAAUUAGAGUGUUCAAAGCAAGCCUACGCUCUGAAUACAUUAGCAUGGAAUAACGCGAUAGGACUCUGGCUUAUCUUGUUGGUCUGUGAGACCAGAGUAAUGAUUAAGAGGGACAGUCGGGGACAUUCGUAUUUCAUUGUCAGAGGUGAAAUUCUUGGAUUUAUGAAAGACGAACUUCUGCGAAAGCAUUUGUCAAGGAUGUUUUCAUUAA